GGGAUUUAAGCCACCGAUGGAACAGCUCCAGCAAAUUUUGGGAUUCCUGGGGUGGUGUGGUCCUUGGCCAAGAUCUGAACCACAGCUUAUCUGAGUUGGUGACGGACAGGGCAGAGCAAGUGGGGAAGACGGGAGUUCAGGAGAAUUGCGCUCACCUGGUGGAGAGCUUCCCCAGCUGCAGGGGCCAGGGAGCAGGUUUUUGUCUACAGUAAGCACAGGGUCUGAGGUCAUAGCUGUCUUCAACGUCAGAUCCACCAGAGAGGAUGGUGGUACCCAGAGGAAGUGGCCAGCUGCCCUGGCUGUCAGGAUCUCCCACCUUUUAUACUGGAGCAGAGUCGCUGGUCAUAAGGACAGGGAAGGGACCGAAAGCGUCAGGUGACAGGACUAGGAAAAUAGGCCCGAGGCUCCAUCAGUGACCUAGGGGACAUCUGAAGAAGAGCAGAAGGUGCUCU
rnacentral:lncRNA from 1 species